rnacentral:rRNA from 1 species
UUGAACGCUGGCGGCAUGCCUUACACAUGCAAGUCGAACGGCAGCGGACCUUCGGGUGCCGGCGAGUGGCGAACGGGUGAGUAAUAUAUCGGAACGUACCUUCAGUGGGGAUAACGUAGCGAAAGUUACGCUAAUACCGCAUAUUCUGUGAGCAGGAAAGCAGGGGAUCGCAAGACCUUGCGCUGAUUGAGCGGCCGAUAUCAGAUUAGCUAGUUGGUGAGGUAAAGGCUCACCAAGGCGACGAUCUGUAGCGGGUCUGAGAGGAUGAUCCGCCACACUGGAACUGAGACACGGUCCAGACUCCUACGGGAGGCAGCAGUGGGGAAUUUUGGACAAUGGGCGCAAGCCUGAUCCAGCCAUGCCGCGUGAGUGAAGAAGGCCUUCGGGUUGUAAAGCUCUUUCGGCCGGGAAGAAAUCGCACAGGUUAAUACCCUGUGUGGAUGACGGUACCGGAAUAAGAAGCACCGGCUAACUACGUG